UGGCCCAGCAGGUUAUUUCAGUUCCCA
rnacentral:piRNA from 1 species